rnacentral:lncRNA from 1 species
UGCAAAAAAUGUUUAAAAAAAAUAGUUUUGCUUUAUCAUUAUGGGGUAUUGUGUGUAGAUUGAUGAGGAGAAUUGAAUCCAUUUUAGAAUAAGGUUGUAACGUAACAAAAUGUGGAAAAAGUUGAGGGGUCUGAAUGCUUUCUGAAUGCACUGUAAUUGAACAGAUCUGUGUCUGAGAUAUCUAACAGACUACUAUCUAACAGACUACUAUCUAACAGACUACUAUCUAACAGACUACUAUCUAACAGACUUUCUAAACAGACUGCUAUCUAACAGACUUAAACAUGACUACUAUCUAACAGACUACUAUCUAACAGACUUUCUAAACAGACUGCUAUCUAACAGACUUUCUAAACAGACGCUACUAACCGACUUUCUAAACAGCUGCUAUCUAACAGACUUUCUAAACAGACUGCUAUCUAACAGACUUUCUAAACAGACACUAUCUAACAGACUCUAUCUAACAGACUUUCUAAACAGACUGCUAUCUAACGACUUUCUAAACAGACUGCUAUCUAACAGACUUUCUAAACAGACUGCUAUCUAA